ACAAAGAAAACAAAGAGCAUUUUAAGACCGUAUCUUUCAAGAAUUUGAAAAUGGCGGCGAUCAAGAAAGCAGAAAUUCAACAAGUUUCUUCAAUGGCAAUACUUCCAGAACACAUAAUCAUCUCCCAUAUAUUCCCUAAAUUACACCCAAAAACCCUAUUGCGAUUGCAAUGCACAAACAAAUUCUACAAAACCCUAAUUUCAUCCCAAGAAUUCAUCGAUGAACACCUCCAUCAAUCUCUCUCCUCCUCCUCUCAUGGCCUCCUCAUCUUUUUCACUGCUCAUGUAAACGGAAUUCAAAGACUCUACUCUUUAGACUUAGAUUCACCCAAUUCACGUGCUGUUUAUGUCCCACUUCCAGAACCAUUUCACGGCGAAUACAACCAUUUCGACAUUGUAGGUUCUUCCAAUGGUUUGCUUUGUCUUCGAUCAACUAUUGGUAACAAACAUUUUUCCCAUUAUAAUGGUUUAGGCUUCUUGUUUCUGAAUCCAUGUACUAGAAUGUUUGGUUGUUCUUUAUAUUAUCCAUCUCUACAUGUGCGCAGUCACGAAGUUGGUUUUGGAUUUGGGAAUGAUCCUAAAAAUAACGAUUAUAAGCUGGUUGUGAUAGAAUUCUGUAACAUUUGGGGUAGAAAACUUUAUGGGAGGACUUUAGUAUAUGGGAUGAAAAAACAUUCAUGGAAUUGUGUUGAGCGUAUGAAAUUUUUGGAUUUGUCGGAUGGUAUGCCUACAUGUCUACCUAUUAAUGGUGUUGUGAUUGACCGCAAGUUACUUCAUUGGGUGUUCUUGUCGAAAUCGAAAAAAGUACUUGGGAUUGGUUGUUUUGAUGUAGAGCUUGAUCGAUGGGCUGAUGUUUCUUUGCCAUUGCCUGAUUAUGAUGAAUAUGAUCAAGAUGGGCGCGCUACUAAAGUUGUUAAUUUGGGGGUUUUUGAUGGUUGUUUGUGUUUGUCAACUACGAUUGAGGGGUCGAAUGUGACUGAUGUAUGGGUGAUGAAGGAGUAUGGGGUGAAAGAGUCAUGGACUAAGUUGUUAAUUGCUACUCCGAGUUGUCAAUAUACUCCUCUUUUUGAUUAUGGGGAAGGAAUGAGGAGGAAACUUUUGCUUAGCAUAGAUUGGCCUCAUAAACUAGGGGUUGAAACUUGUGUUUGGUAUAACCUUAGUGAUCAAACAACUAAGAAGUUGGAAUUGGGUGGGGCGCCUCUUUAUUUCAAGGUUCUUUCGUUGUGUUUUGGGAGUCUUGUUAACAUUACGGGUGGUCGUCAAAUCGAGGCGCAAAGGGAAGUAAGACGAGGAGGAUGAACAAGUGAAGGAUAAGGUAAGCUAUUUGAAUGCUUGUGAUAUUGAUUUCCUUUGUUUUAUACUAUGUACUUGUCAAUGAUAUAUGUUUGAGGAUCACUGUAGGUUGAUGAUGCUCUCUUACAAGUUUAUAACAUUGAAGAUAAAGCAUAUAGGGAUUGCACUAUAUGUUUUCUCUUGCAACUCACACUGUAACAUGAGAUGCAUUACCUUAAUUUGCUGAAACAAACAGUGGUUAGAAUAAUGCGAGGAAAGGCAUUAUGUAUAGAGCUUGUACUAGGGAUCAAAUGGUGAUUGACUAGUUAAAGCAAGGAGGAAAGGGCAAGGCCUCCUCAUAUGACUUUGAUUAUAGGUGUGAAUACGAAUUUAGCGCCCUCUGAAAUUGGGUUUUCUGGGUUGGCAAAUUUGUGCAUAGAAAAUAUUCUGCACAUUCAAGAAAUUAGAAGCAAAUUAAUUCCGCAGUCUGUCACUGUAGCUUGUCUAUUAGGUAAACAGUGGUCUGGCGGAGUACGGGUUAGCUUUAGCUCGUAGCAGACAGUCUUUCUAUUUAUGAUUGUGUGACUGUGUCCUGCUUAUAUAAUUUUCUCGUUGUGCCUAUUUUAGCUAAUGAAUUGCACACAUAUUGAUUUUGUGUCACAAACAUCAUUCUAUUUGAACUGAGCAUCAUUGGAAGCAAAAUUUAGUUACAUAAUAAUCAGGUUUUCUCGAAGUGCUUUCGUUUUCGAUUGAUUACUUUAUAAGCUUUGCUUCUUGUUGGGAUUUCAUAAAGUGGAAAGUAAUUGAAAGCAUCUAAUAUGAUUACUUCUUCAAUUGAGAAGUGCAGUAGAUAUCUUUCCAGUUGUAGGGUUGCUCUAGAAAAGCAAAGAAAGUACAAUAGCUAUAAACUACAAGCUAAUUAGACUAUCAAAUGAUCAGUAUAUAUUAUACACCAAAAGUUAUUUGCAGUCGUGCUACUUCUUUAGUUCAAAACGCUUUUUUAUAUACACUCACGAUGUAGUCGUAUUUUAAUGUAUAACUUUCUUAGUAUAUCUACUCUGAUUUGAAUAUAUCAGGUGUUCUUUUUGGUAUAUAUAGACCUACAAAGGGAAAUGAUGUAGAUAUGAUUUGGAACCUAGUUUCCGAUACCACCCUGAAGACUUCAUGAUAAGUUUGCAUAAAACUUUUGGCUUAGGAGGAUGAACUUAAUAGUUGAUGAUCAAGGAUCCAAGUUGUUGCUAACACCUUUUGCUACUACCUUGAUUCAAUCUAUUUACUUAUAAAAGUUUGAUGCAAGGGAUAUACUGUAGGCGUCUAAUGCCUAUUUCCUAUUAUCUUUUCAUGGCUUGAACUAAAAUUUUCUAGAUCACUCGGGAUGUAAUGGAGGUCUGAUUUCUUCGAACUAAGUAGCAGGAUGUUCCUUAAUCAUAUGAUCAAGUACAGAUUUUGAAGAUUAGAAAAACAAUGCUAGAGCCUAGAGGAACCAUAAGGACGUUGAGCUGAAAACGCUUUUUUAAGAGACUUUUUAGAUAAUUUUUUAUAUUUUUUAUUAAUACGGAAUUGAAGAUACUAAAGGUCAAAGUUACGUCCUGAAGACUGUGUAAAAAAGAAACAAGCACUAUAUUAUGAGACAGAGGGAGUAUAUACCAAAGGCGUUUGGCGAAGUACAAAUGCAUUUGGGGUCACCAAAUUGCUCCUCUUGACUGUGAUGAUAAAUGAUUCAAAUAUUUGGUAUCUUUUGAUUGUCUGAUGUAAGACGUCCAUCAUUGUCUGUAUUGCUCUCUGCUUAUUUACUUUCCGGCUUCCGCCCCGUUCCGCCAGUCACCCCACUUUAUCGCCACCUGCUGCCCUCUGCCGUGAGAGGGAUCAUUGAGCUUAAGCUUGUGCUACUAACUGGUGGUUUUAGGGAUGUUAGCGUUUGUAGGGUAAAUAGUGAAAAUUCCCUAGAUUAUGAGUUAGGUUCUUAUUUUAUUUGUUCAAUGGCGUUAAUCUUCUGUAUUAUACUUGCCUUGUUUGUUUUUUUUUUUGGGGGAGGAACCGACUAGUGCAUUUAUCAAGGGACAAAAUGUCUGAAAGCACAUAGGGGGAAACCUAAAAUGCUGUAGCUUAGCUAAAUGAUGGACUACACAAUUACCAUCUCUUGAUAAGAAGAGACCAAAUUACUGAAUUAAAAAAAGAACAAAGCGACAAAAUAUCUUCUAAAACAUUAUCAAAAUCUGAAAUUAAACCACAGCUUUGGGAAGACGAUUCACAAGCACUUGGCUACCCAAGUCCAUGAUGACAUUCCCAUAACCAUAGCGUUUGGCAAGCCUUAUCGCUAGUAGAAGAGCCUUGCUGUCUGCAAUUUCAGGAGGCCACCAAGCAUGCACUCGACGUGUAGCAGCAAAUAGUACGUCCCCCUUCUCAUUACAUGCAACCACUCCCAUGCCAACCCAGCCUUCAGUUGCUAAUAAAGAAGCAUUCACCAUGCCAGCAGGUGGUGCAACCCAGCCUUGUUUGGUUAACUGUACAAUGAGGAAUGUCCAUGUUAGUGAAUUGGAACCAAAUGAAGACCUCUUAAUGCCCAGUUCAAUCGUGUUCGAUUUCCUGAAUAUACAUACAUUUGGCUAAGUAGUAUGUAACCUUUCUUUUGCAUGUGUUUAGUGCAAGAGUACUUAAGGUGUGAUAUAUGAUUUUAGUAUCAAAUAUCUGGAUAUAUGAUUUUUACUGCUAUAAGAGAUAUUGUGGACAUUAGUGGUUCUGUAACACUUUUUACAGCAGACUUUAGACCGUUCAUAUUGUAUAGAUCUAUUGCAAUGGCAGCCUGAUGUCAAAGGGAUUGUUAGCAUUACAUCAUAUUAUCAAGUUCUUUUUUGUGUUCAAUAGACCCCAGAAUGUAGUAGAAGCUCUCUAUGUAUAUACAGAACCAGAAUUGAUCUU